rnacentral:rRNA from 1 species
AACGAACGCUGGCGGCAGGCCUAACACAUGCAAGUCGAACGAGAUCUUCGGAUCUAGUGGCGGACGGGUGAGUAACACGUGGGAACGUGCCCUUCUCUACGGAAUAGUCCUGGGAAACUGGGUUUAAUACCGUAUACGCCCUUCGGGGAAAGAAUUUCGGGGAAGGAUCGGCCCGCGUUGGAUUAGGUAGUUGGUGGGGUAAUGGCCUACCAAGCCGACGAUCCAUAGCUGGUUUGAGAGGAUGGAUCGACGCCACACGUGGGACUGAGACGACCGGCCCAGACCUCCGUACGGGAGGCAGCAGGUA